ensembl:snRNA U6 U6 spliceosomal RNA
GUGCUCCCUUCUGCAGCACAUACACAUACACAAUUGAAAUGAUACAGAGAAGAUUUGCAUGGGGCUGGCACAAGGAUGCACAUUUGUGAAGUGUUCCAUAUUUUG